AACAGAGGGCAGCGAAGCCGCGAGGUGGAGCAAAUCCCAGAAAACUGAUCUCAGUUCGGAUUGCAGGCUGCAACCCGCCUGCAUGAAGUCGGAAUCGCUAGUAAUCGCGGGUCAGCAUACCGCGGUGAAUACGUUCCCGGGCCUUGUACACACCGCCCGUCACACCACGAAAGUUGGUAACACCCGAAGCCGGUGGCCUAACCCUUAGGGGAGGGAGCUGUCGAAGGUGGGACUGAUGAUUGGGGUGAAGUCGUAACAAGGUACC
rnacentral:rRNA from 1 species